GCUGCCUUAGCUCAGUGGUAGAGCGGGAGACUGCAGUUUCUUCUAGCCGCCUCGGCUCAGUCGAGGAAGGAUAGAUCUCCUGUAAUCUUCAGGUCAAUCGUUCAAACCGGUUAGGCAGCU